rnacentral:rRNA from 1 species
GGUGAGUAACACGUAUGCAACCUACCUGUAAGAGGGGAAUAACCCGGAGAAAUUCGGACUAAUACCGCAUAAUACUGAUUAUCUGCAUGGAUUGAUCAGUGAAACAUUUAUGGCUUACAGAUGGGCAUGCGUAUGAUUAGAUAGUUGGUAGGGUAACGGCCUACCAAGUCAACGAUCAUUAGGGGUUCUGAGAGGAAGGCCCCCCACACUGGUACUGAGACACGGACCAGACUCCUACGGGAGGCAGCAGUGAGGAAUAUUGGUCAAUGGGCGAGAGCCUGAACCAGCCAAGUCGCGUGAAGGAAGAAGGUUCUAUGGAUUGUAAACUUCUUUUGUAAGGGAAUAAAAAGAGUUACGUGUAACUUAUUGUAUGUACUUUACGAAUAAGGAUCGGCUAACUCCGUGCCAGCAGCCGCGGUAAUACGGAGGAUCCAAGCGUUAUCCGGAUUUAUUGGGUUUAAAGGGUGCGUAGGCGGACCCUUAAGUCAGUGGUGAAAGUUUGCAGCUCAACUGUAAAAUUGCCAUUGAAACUGAGGGUCUUGAGUGUAAAUAAGGUAGGCGGA